AGGUUGUUAGUUUAACAAAAACCCUUGAUUUCGGCUCAAAAGCUUAUGGUUAAAAUCCAUAACCUCCUA
rnacentral:tRNA from 1 species